rnacentral:rRNA from 1 species
UACGUAGGGGGCAAGCGUUGUCCGGAUUCAUUGGGCGUAAAGAGCGUGUAGGCGGCCAGGUAGGUCGGUUGUGAAAACUGGAGGCUCAACCUUCAGACGUCGACCGAAACCAUCUGGCUAGAGUCCGGGAGAGGUGAGUGGAAUUCCCAGUGUAGAGGUGAAAUUCGUAGAUAUUCGGAAGAACACCAGUGGCGAAGGCGGCUCACUGGUCCGGUACUGACGCUGAGGUGCGAAAGCGUGGGGAGCAAACAGGG